rnacentral:rRNA from 1 species
GGAUGCCUUGGCACUAGGAGCCGAUGAAGGACGUGAUAAGCUGCGAUAAGCUUCGGGGAGUUGCACGUAAACUUUGAUCCGAAGAUUUCCGAAUGAGGAAACUCACUUAGAGUAAUGUCUAAGUAUCAUUAAGUGAAUACAUAGCUUAAUGAGGGGAACUCAGGGAACUGAAACAUCUAAGUACCUGAAGGAAGAGAAAGAAAUUCGAUUCCGUAAGUAGCGGCGAGCGAACGCGGAUUAGCCCAAACCAAUAAAGUUUUCUUUAUUGGGGUUGCGGACAUAUCAUAACGAAGAGGUAUCGUAAUUGAAGAGGUUUGGAAAGACCCACCACAGAAGGUAAUAGUCCUGUAUGUUAAACGAGAAGACUUCAGAUAUGAUCCAGAGUACCACGGGACACGUGAAACCCUGUGGGAAGCAGGAGGGACCACCCUCCAAGGCUAAAUACUACCUAGUGACCGAUAGCGUAUAGUACCGUGAGGGAAAGGUGAAAAGAACCCCGGGAGGGGAGUGAAAUAGAACCUGAAACCCUGCACUUACAAGCUGUGGAAGCACAUUUCUUGUGUGACCGCGUACUUUUUGUAGAACGGGCCAACGAGUUACGUUAAGUAGCAAGGUUAAGCACUUAAGGUGCGGAGCCGUAGCGAAAGCGAGUUUUAACUGAGCGUUCAGUUACUUGACGUAGACCCGAAACCGGGCGACCUACCCAUGAGCAGGAUGAAGCGAAAGUAAAAUUUCGUGGAGGUCCGAACCCACGAGCGUUGAAAAGCUCGGGGAUGACUUGUGGGUAGCGGUGAAAUUCCAAUCGAGCCCGGAGAUAGCUGGUUCUCCCCGAAAUAGCUUUAGGGCUAGCCUCAAGGUGAGAGAUACGGAGGUAGAGCACUGAAUGUCCUAGGGGGUAUUGCACCUACCGAAGACUAUCAAACUCCGAAUGCCGUCAUCUUAUACUUGGGAGUCAGACUGUGGGUGAUAAGAUUCAUAGUCGAAAGGGCAACAGCCCAGAUCGUCAGCUAAGGUCCCUAAAUGUAAGUUAAGUGGUAAAGGAUGUGGGAUUGCACAGACAACCAGGAUGUUGGCUUAGAAGCAGCCACUCAUUCAAAGAGUGCGUAAUAGCUCACUGGUCGAGUGAUCCUGCGCCGAAGAUUUCCGGGGCUAAAACUUACUACCGAAGCUACGGCAUCANAUGAUGGGUAGGGGAGCUUCCCAUACGGGUUGAAGCAUGACCGUAAGGACAUGUGGACAGUAUGGGAGUGAGAAUGUUGGCAUGAGUAGCGAGAUGUGGGUGAGAAUCCCACAGGCCGUAAACCCAAGGUUUCCAGGGGAAGGUUCGUCCGCCCUGGGUUAGUCGGGACCUAAGCUGAGGCCGAAAGGCGUAGGUGAUGGACAACAGGUUGAUAUUCCUGUACUACCGAUAACCGUUUGAGAGAAGGGAUGACACAGUAGGAUAAGCUAAGCACACUGUUGGUUAUGUGUGCCCAAGCAUUGAGGCAGUCAAAGCAGGCAAAUCCGCUUUGAUAAUGCUGGGAUGUGAUGGGGAGCGAAAUUUAGUAGCGAAGUAGCUGAUUUCACACUGUCAAGAAAAGUCUCUAUCGAGGUUAAAGGUACCCGUACCGCAAACCGACACAGGUGGGUGAGGAGAGUAUCCUAAGGCCAGCGAGAGAACUGUUGUUAAGGAACUCGGCAAAAUGACCCCGUAACUUAGGGAUAAGGGGUGCCACCAUCCGGUGGCCGCAGAGAAUAGGCCCAAGCGACUGUUUACCAAAAACAUAGGUUUCUGCUAAGUCGCAAGACGAUGUAUAGGAGCUGACGCCUGCCCGGUGCUGGAAGGUUAAGGGGAUCUGUUAGAGCAAUCGAAGCAGUGAACUUAAGCCCCAGUAAACGGCGGCCGUAACUAUAACGGUCCUAAGGUAGCGAAAUUCCUUGUCGGGUAAGUUCCGACCCGCACGAAAGGCGUAACGAUUUGGGCACUGUCUCAACAACAGACUCGGUGAAAUUGUAAUUCCGGUGAAGAUGCCGGAUACCUGCGACAGGACGGAAAGACCCCAUGGAGCUUUACUGUAGCUUGACAUUGGGUCUUGGUACUACAUGUACAGGAUAGGUGGGAGGCUUUGAAACCAGGACGCCAGUUUUGGCGGAGCCAUCCUUGGGAUACCACCCUUGUAGUACUGGGACUCUAACCAUAGGCCAUGAAUCUGGUCUUGGGACACUGUCAGGUGGGCAGUUUGACUGGGGCGGUCGCCUCCCAAAAGGUAACGGAGGCGCUCAAAGGUUCUCUCAGUACGGUCGGAAAUCGUACGUAGAGUGUAAAGGCAAAAGAGAGCUUGAUUGCAAGACAUACAGGUCGAGCAAGGAUGAAAAUCGGACUUAGUGAUCCGGUGGUUCUGCGUGGAAGGGCCAUCGCUCAACGGAUAAAAGCUACCCUGGGGAUAACAGGCUUAUCUCCCCCAAGAGUCCACAUCGACGGGGAGGUUUGGCACCUCGAUGUCGGCUCAUCACAUCCUGGGGCUGUAGUAGGUCCCAAGGGUUGGGCUGUUCGCCCAUUAAAGUGGUACGCGAGCUGGGUUCAGAACGUCGUGAGACAGUUCGGUCCCUAUCCGUCGCAGGCGUAGGAAAUUUGAGAAGACCUGUCCUUAGUACGAGAGGACCGGGAUGGACGUACCUCUGGUGUACCAGUUGUUCUGCCAAGGGCAUGGCUGGGUAGCUAUGUACGGAAUGGAUAAGCGCUGAAAGCAUCUAAGCGCGAAGCCAACUUCAAGAUAAGAUUUCCCACCGCAAGGGUAAGACCCCAGAAAGACUAUCUGGUUGAUAGGUCGAAGGUGUAAGUGCAGCAAUGUAUUUAGCUUAUCGAUACUAAUAGGUCGAGGACUUGACCAA